GAUGAACGCUGGCGGCGUGCCUAAUACAUGCAAGUCGAGCGAACGGACGAGAAGCUUGCUUCUCUGAUGUUAACGGCGGAAGGGUGAGUAACGCGUGGAUAACCUACCUAUAAGACUGGGAUAACAUCGGGAGACCGGAGCUAAUACCGGAUAAUAUUUUGAACCGCAGGGUUCAAAAGUGAAAGACGGUCUUGCUGUCACUUAUAGAUGGAUCCGCGCUGCAUUAGGUAGUUGGUAAGGUAACGGCUUACCAAGGCAACGAUGCAUAGCCGACCUGAGAGGGUGAUCGGCCACACUGGAACUGAGACACGGUCCAGACUCCUACGGGAGGCAGCAGUAGGGAAUCUUCCGCAAUGGGCGAAAGCCUGACGGAGCAACGCCGCGUGCGUGAUGAAGGUCUUCGGAUCGUAAACCUCUGUUAUUAGGAACGAACAUAUGUGUAAGUAACUGUGCACAUCUUGACGGUACCUAAUCAGAAAGCCACGGCUAACUACGUG
rnacentral:rRNA from 1 species